CUCUAUCUGAAGAUUGCUCCUCUUAGAGUCCUUCUGUGAGCCCAGGACAUGGUGUCUUUCUUGGACUAUUCCUUUGGCAGAAUGCAAGGCAGCCCUACUAUCACAUCAGAAGCCCAAACCCACUGGUGGGCUUCACAAGCGAUCAGAGGGAAAGAGUGCUGGAGUACUUGAAGGAAUGAAGCCAGCACUUAUUUUAGUAGGAGUUCAGGAUGUGGCUGUGAAGGAGAGGGCUGAAAUAAAACCUAACUGGGGCAGAGGUUAUAUUAUCUUGUUAAUAUCUGGGCAUUAUAUAUCAGAAUACUGCUAUUCUUCUGAGCACUGUGUUGACAGCAAAUCCUUGCAAGUCAGAAUCAUGCCUUCCAGUUGAAAGAAUGACUUUUCAUCUCCUCAGCCUGAUUUCAUAAGAAGUUAUAUUGACUAUAUAAAAUGUUGCAUGACAUUAUCUCUAGGGCAGUAUCAAACAGAGAACGAUACAGAAAUUAGAAGUGAAGGUUAAGGGAGAUCACUGUUGCUAACCGAUACGUUAUGAUGAAUGGAUUAGAGGAAGAAGAGAGACAAGGAAAUAAUACUUUAUUGCAGAUGCAGAGAACAGUUGUAUAAUGAGGGAAUGCUAUCCUUCUGUAUUUCAGAAUUAUUUAAAAUAUUAUGAAAGUAAAAUAAAUAAAAUCACUUUCAAAAUAAAUUAAAACAAUGUAUCAACACUAAAAUAAAAUUACUUAAUUUGACUAUGGAUUUUAAUAGUGCAGUUGGAGACAAAAAAUAAUCAGAUUUUGAUUUAUUUCUUUCUAGAAAACAAGUAGACUAUUCACUUACCCUAAGACAUGUGAAUGAUAAUAUUUUUGUGUUUUUUAAGCAUCAAUUUGACAUUUACUAAGCAGUGUUGCAGGUUUGUCUUAUUUACUAAUUGUUAUAGAAUCUUACUCUGGCAUUGCUAGUAAAGAACUUUCCUUUUGAAAUAAAAAUUGUUAUUUAAUUCAGAUUAUUUUCAUAUACUGUCUUUUGUACUACAUACAACACAGUACACAACAGAGCAAGAUGGAUGCCUACUUUCAAUGCAUUAAAUUAGAGUUCAGAUUAUGUAGUUGAGUUAUUGAAGCUUCUUCCUAUGUAGGAGGUAGUUUUUUGUGUAAGUUCCAAAGACAUUUGUUAUAAAUGUUUAAAUUGUGUCUUUCAAAAUCUCUUCUUGAAAGUCAUUUUUCUUAGCUUUCAAAGGAAAAUGUUAUAUGGGAAAAUCUUCAGCAAACAGAAGACAAUAUAACAAUAAUAAUAAUAAUAAUAAGCUGUAUGCAUCUUCUUUUCAUUGAGCAUCUAGAAACAACACUGAUUUUGUUACUUAGGUGAACGCUAUGAAACCACUAGUUAUUCCAUUGCAGUGAAAGUACAAUAUGUGUCUGUCUUUCUAGUACUGCAUUUCUUUUUUGAUUAAAUUCAAAUUAAUAUAUUUUGUAAUGAGCAUAAUUCUCCAUCUAGUAAAACUGUGGUGCAUACAAGACUUUCCACAAAAAUAGUAAUAAAAAGAAUUUGGGAAUCACUUAUUUCUAAAACUGUAUAAUACUUUGUUUUUGUAUAGCUAACAUUUUGGACAAGGUUUACAGCAAUAACUGAAUGUUUGUCAAAUCAGUACAUGAGCUAGGUAAAACACUUGUUACCUCUUAUUUCUGUACCAGAGAGGCAGUACACAUUGCAUAUGAUGUUCUGCAUUGCAACUUGUUUACACCUGUGUUUUAUCCUCUGAAUAUGUCUGUGGCCUAAAAACUUAUAAAGUUACUGCUUUGGUCAUUUGACUACUGUGUUAAUCUUAGUGCUUGGAGAUAUUUUAAUAAAUUACUCU
ensembl:lncRNA